CCGCGGAGGACUGCGCCCAGGAGGGUGGCCGGCCGCGGGAGGAGGACUUGGGGUCGGGCUGCUGCAGCUGGGUGGCCAGCGCCGCGGCGGCCCCUCCCCCGCUCUCCCUGGCCGCCGCCCCCUCCUCCUCCCGUCCUCCUCCUCCUCUCCCUCCUCCCGGUCCCCCAUCCUCCUCCCGGCCCCCGGCAGCUGCGGCUCGGGGAGCAGCCGGCGGCGCCGCGGCCGCGCAGCCUUUGUCUCGGGCCGCCGGGCGCGCGGGGCCCAGCGCAGGCAGGCCACGCGGGGACGGAGGAGGCAGAGAGGACGGGCUGUGAUGGAGAAACGGGAGAGGAGCCGGCCAGGCGCCACCGUCACCACCAUCACCAACCACCACCACCAUCACCAUCACUGACUGUCGCCCAUCCCAGCUCCCCUGCCUCACCUCCCAUCUCAUAUCCCUGUGCAGUGCCAACUUUAUCAGAUCAUCUCUUUUUCACUGGGUACUACUUUGGAAAAGCGACAGAGUGCGCCAAGUCAGGAAUAAGCCCCAGGGACGGCUGACCAUUCAGAACAAACACAGGGACAGAGCCCCAGGGCUGUUGGGAAGCCCAGCACCAGAGGGCAUGAACCUUCUUAGGAGAAGUAAAACUUACAAAAAACAAGCUCUUAAACCCUCCGCCUUUUCCCCUAUUGGUUAGAAAGUGAAUCUUAAACUGUGUUUUAUGUUCUAGUCUAAUAAAAGACAGCUAGACAAGCCUACGUUUCUUGACAUGCUUGGAAAAUCAUCUUCCCGAAAAGUCAUGCAGCAGGGCUUUUUUUUUUUUUUUUUCGACUGAGUCUCACUCUGCCUCUCAGGCUGGAGUGGAGUGGCAUGAUCUCAGCUCAGUGCAACCUCUGCCUCCCGGGUUCAAGUGAUUCUCCUGCCUCAGCCUCCCGAGUAGCUGGGAUUACAGGCGUGGGCCACCAUGCUUGGCUAAUUUUUGUAUUUUUAGUAGAGACAGGGUUUUACCAUGUUGGCCAGGCUGGUCUCGAACUCCUAACCUCAGGUGAUCCGCCCGCCUCGGCCUCCCGAAGAGUUGGGAUUACAGGCGUAAGCCACCACGCCCAGCCAGGGCUCCUUUUUAAUAGGGCUAUGGAGUCCCCCACCUGGUGGUUUUUUUGCCCUGUGCCCUGUUUUUACAAUUCAAGAAGGAAAGUGAUCAUAUUAAAAAUAAUGUGAACCCAGCUGAGCUGCAUUUGUCGUUACCAUAGUUUAAGAUUUCUCAAAUGUUGAAGUAUAAUUAUAUGUCAUUAACUCAAACCUCUCUAAUUUGUGAAGUAGGGUUUUAAAUAGGGUAUGUAAUUCUGUGGAGAAUGACUCCGAAAUCAUUCUGAGGACCUGAAGUUUAAGUAAGGCAUAGUCAGUCUAAAACAAUGACAUUGUCAGAACGAAGACUUAAAGAAUUAUUUAGCUAUGUUUUUAAUUCUGGAUCUUUAGGAAAUAAUUAGCAUCUCAAGGAAGCUUCAUGCCAAUGAUAGUGUCUUAGUCUUUUGGGUCUGCUAUCACAAAAUGCCUUAGACUGGGUGAUUCUGAACAAGAGAAAGGUAUUGCUCACAGUUCUUGAGUCUGGCAAGUCGUGGAUCCAGGUGCUGUGGAUUCAGUGUCUGGUGAGGGCUAGCUCUCUGCUUCAUAGAUGGCACCUUCUAUGUGUCCUCACAUGGUACAUGGGGCACACAGGCUCCCUUGGGCCUCUUUUAUAAGGGCACUAAUCCCAUUCAUGACAUGGGGCGUUCAGAAGCUAAUCUCCUAAAGUCCCACCUCUUGAUACUGUUGCCUUGGGGAUUAGGUUUCAACGUAUGAAUCUGUGGGGACACCAACAUUCAGACUGUGACAGGUUGGCAUUGAGUACCAAGUUAUAUCCAACACGCAUUGUUUUAGCCCAUACAAAUUGUUAUAGCCUAUACUAAUUCUAUGUUAAUUUAGGAACAAUUCAUUUGCUUUUGUUGAGAUAUGAUUUACAUACAUAAAAUGCACAACUCUUCAGUGGACAGCUUGAUGAAUUUUUGCCUAUGUGCCCCCUGCAAUAAGAUACAGCCUAUUUCCACAGGCCUAAGGGAUCCCCUGAUGCCCUUUCUAGUCAGUACCCCCCCAACAGAGCCACUAUCCCUUCAAUGGAGCCACUAUUGGACUUCUAUCAACAUAGAAAAAUAAUUUCUUUUAAAAUAAUUUCUAAGUAAUUUAUUUUGCACUUCACUCCAUUAAAUGCAAUUGGCCUAUUCCUUAAAUGCAUUUGGCCUAUUCCAUUUAUGACCAAAUCUGGGGGCCCUGAGCCCAGUGCUGUGUAGACAUGAGACUGUGUAGACCUGAGACAUGGUAUUAUUAAUACAUAAGGCAAAAACUUCCACAAGCAGAAGCAAUACCCUGUAUGCAGAUACAGAGGGUUAGGGGAACCCACAAGAGUCUGGGUCUAACCCAGUUUUGUUUUGUUUGUGGGGGGAAAGGGAAGGCUUUUUGGAGGAUGUGAAUUUUAAGUUGAAAAUGGAAAACUGAGUAGAAGUGAUCCAGCUAAAACGUGGUAGGAGGAAAAUGAAAGCCUAUUCUAGGUGGAAGGAACAUCUUGAAUUCCAGCCUCAGAAAUAAGACAGCAUGGAGUGUUUGAAGAGCAAAGCUAAGCUGAAGAUGCUUGGAGUAUAGGGCUGUGGGAGAAAAGUGGGAAAUAAUGCUGGAAAGGCCAUAGGGACCCUUUCAGUUUGACACAAAGGCCCUGCUGAGGGGUGGGGCUUGGCUGUAAGAGCUAGGAGAGCUCUAGGACAGGCUUGCGUGGUGGGCAUGGCAGGAGGAGACUUGAGGACUCAGCAGGCGGCCUUAGGGUCGGGAGAUUACAGGAGGCGCAGGUGGGGGGCCAAGUGGUCAUUCAGGUAAGAGACAGUGGUGACCUGGACUAUGCAGUGGCAACAGGAAUGGGGAGAAAUGAAUGAAAUGGAAAGAGAAUUACAAGGUAAAAUGAACACAAAUUGAUGUUUGCUAGGUGAGAAUUCAAGGAUAGCCCUUAGGUUUCUUGGAUCUUACAAAAUGGAUGGAUAAUGGUACUCUUGGAGAGAUGAGAGAAGAAUCUUGUAUAUAUUAUAUGCUCCUUUGGUAUGUUUCUUUCUGUGUGGACUUAGUUUCGGUUGCAAGUUAGUGUGAUGCAUUCAGGUAGAAAUAUCUACUGGGGAGUUGUAACUCAUACUGACUGAGCACACUCCAUAUGCCAGGCAUGCUCCGUCACUUAGGAUGCAGUUGUGAACAAGACGAUGAAAACCCUGCCUUUGUGAAACACAGGUGGGAGCUGCAGCCUGGGGACCCACAAGGUUUAAGUGGUGACAGAAGGCUUCAGAGUGAAUGAGAUGGCUCAGUCAGAUUUCAGUGAAAGAGCAGCAGCCCAGGAUAAAAUCUCAAGAACGCUAAGAGACUAAGAAGGAACAAAGGAGAGAUGGCAAGGAAAGCAAGAGAAGUUGGGCUUCACAGGCCUAGGGAGUGAUCCCUAGUGUCAUACACAACUGUGAAGUUAAGGGAGAUGAGGACUAGAGAUGAUCUACUGCAGUGCUUCUCAAAGUGGGGUCCCCAGACCAGCAGCAGCAGCACCAGGAGCUUGUUGCAAUUGCAGUUUCUUGAGAUCUACUCCAGACCUGGUGACUCUGGGAGCUCUGAGGGAAGGGCCUAGCAAUCUAUGUUUUAACAAGGUUUCCCAGUGAUCCUGAUGCAUGCUAAUGUUUGAGCACCACAGCUCUAUUGUGUUAAUUGAUAAGUCACUGGUGAUGCAGCAACUUGGUGAAAAUAACUUCAUAAAAUUUACACCCUGUUUGGGCAAAUUUUAAAAAUGUUUCGUGGGACUGUUAAAGUUUUAUUCUAUUUGUUUAGAAAUUUCAAAUGUUUUAUUUUCUUUUGCAAUAAAAAUGUUGUUAUUUUCUUUUGUAC
rnacentral:lncRNA from 10 species